rnacentral:rRNA from 1 species
GAUGAACGCUGGCGGCGUGCCUAAUACAUGCAAGUCGAGCGAACAGACGAGGAGCUUGCUCCUCUGACGUUAGCGGCGGACGGGUGAGUAACACGUGGAUAACCUACCUAUAAGACUGGGAUAACUUCGGGAAACCGGAGCUAAUACCGGAUAACAUGUUGAACCGCAUGGUUCAACAGUGAAAGACGGUCUUGCUGUCACUUAUAGAUGGAUCCGCGCCGCAUUAGCUAGUUGGUAAGGUAACGGCUUACCAAGGCAACGAUGCGUAGCCGACCUGAGAGGGUGAUCGGCCACACUGGAACUGAGACACGGUCCAGACUCCUACGGGAGGCAGCAGUAGGGAAUCUUCCGCAAUGGGCGAAAGCCUGACGGAGCCACGCCGCGUGAGUGAUGAAGGUCUUCGGAUCGUAAAACUCUGUUAUUAGGGAAGAACAAAUGUGUAAGUAACUAUGCACGUCUUGACGGUACCUAAUCAGAAAGCCACGGCUAACUACGUG